UACGGAGGGUGCGAGCGUUGUCCGGAAUCACUGGGCGUAAAGGGCGCGUAGGCGGCCUGAUAAGUAGGGGGUGAAAUCCUGCGGCUUAACCGCAGGGCUGCCUUCUAAACUGUCAGGCUAGAGCACAGUAGAGGCAGGUGGAAUUCCCGGUGUAGCGGUGAAAUGCGCAGAUAUCAGGAGGAACACCGGUGGCGAAGGCGGGUCUCUGGGCCGAUACUGACGCUGAGGAGCGAAAGCGUGGGGAGCGAACAGG
rnacentral:rRNA from 1 species